rnacentral:rRNA from 1 species
GCUUGCUGGGUGGAUCAGUGGCGAACGGGUGAGUAACACGUGAGCAACCUGCCCUCCACUUCGGGAUAAGCCUUGGAAACGAGGUCUAAUACCGGAUACGAGCACUUACCGCAUGGUGGGUGUUGGAAAGUUUUUCGGUGGGGGAUGGGCUCGCGGCCUAUCAGCUUGUUGGUGGGGUAAUGGCCUACCAAGGCGUCGACGGGUAGCCGGCCUGAGAGGGCGACCGGCCACACUGGGACUGAGACACGGCCCAGACUCCUACGGGAGGCAGCAGUGGGGAAUAUUGCACAAUGGGCGAAAGCCUGAUGCAGCGACGCCACGUGAGGGAUGACGGCCUUCGGGUUGUAAACCUCUUUCAGCAGGGAAGAAGCGCAAGUGACGGUACCUGCAGAAGAAGCGCCGGCUAACUACGUGCCAGCAGCCGCGGUAAUACGUAGGGCGCAAGCGUUGUCCGGAAUUAUUGGGCGUAAAGAGCUCGUAGGCGGUCUGUCGCGUCUGGUGUGAAAUCCCAUGGCUCAACCAUGGGCUUGCAUCGGGUACGGGCAGACUAGAGUGCUGUAGGGGAGACUGGAAUUCCUGGUGUAGCGGUGGAAUGCGCAGAUAUCAGGAGGAACACCGAUGGCGAAGGCAGGUCUCUGGGCAGUUACUGACGCUGAGGAGCGAAAGCAUGGGGAGCGAACAGGAUUAGAUACCCUGGUAGUCCAUGCCGUAAACGUUGGGCACUAGGUGUGGGGCGGGUUCCACUCGUUCUGUGCCGCAGCUAACGCAUUAAGUGCCCCGCCUGGGGAGUACGGCCGCAAGGCUAAAACUCAAAGGAAUUGACGGGGGCCCGCACAAGCGGCGGAGCAUGCGGAUUAAUUCGAUGCAACGCGAAGAACCUUACCAAGGCUUGACAUGUACGAGAA